GACGAACGCUGGCGGCGUGCUUAACACAUGCAAGUCGAACGGAAAGGCCCUGCUUUUGUGGGGUGCUCGAGUGGCGAACGGGUGAGUAACACGUGAGUAACCUGCCCUUGACUUUGGGAUAACUUCAGGAAACUGGGGCUAAUACCGGAUAGGAGCUCCUGCUGCAUGGUGGGGGUUGGAAAGUUUCGGCGGUUGGGGAUGGACUCGCGGCUUAUCAGCUUGUUGGUGGGGUAGUGGCUUACCAAGGGUUCGACGGGUAGCCGGCCUGAGAGGGUGACCGGCCACAUUGGGACUGAGGUACGGCGCAGACUCCUACGGGAGGCAGCGGUGGGGAAUAUUACACAAUGGGCGGAAGCCUGAUGCAGCAACGCCGCGUGCGGAAUGACGGCCUUCGGGUAGUAAACCGCUUUCGCCUGUGACGAAGCGUGAGUGACGGUAAUGGAUAAAGAAGCACCGGCUAACUACGUG
rnacentral:rRNA from 1 species